UUUAAUUGUGUUUUCCUGCAUUUUUUUCAAGGGAUUUAUUAAUUUCUUCUUUAAUAGCCUCUAUCAUCUUCAUAAGACUGGACUGAAGAUCAUUUUUUUUUGUGUGUGUGUGUGUUCUGUCUGUUUUAAGAUAUCCUGGGCUUCGUGCAGUAUGGGAGCUGGGUUUUGGUGGUUCCAUAAUGCCCAGGUUCUUGUUGAUUAUGUUCUUAUGCUAGACUUUAGCCUUCUGGUUGUCUCUGGUACUGGCAGGUCUCUAGUAAUGCAGGUCACAUUGUGGGCCAGACAAUGGAUAACUGGGGAGCAGCUGUGGCUUACCAUUGUUCGCAGUGUUUUAGAGGGAGCAGCAGGCAGGGGGUGAGUGAGGUUAGUCUUACGUAGUAGUCCCUGAUGACCACAGGCCUCUGGGAAUGCAGGUAAAAUGUGAGUCUGAGAGCCUAGGGGACAGUGCUUUAGCUCACCACUGCUGGACCUGCCCCUGGGGAUGCAGCAGGCAGGGGGCUGUGGCAUAAGAGUUCCACAUGCCUGUCCAUGGUGGCAGCAGGCCUCUGGGUAUGCAGGCUGAGCUGAGGGCUGAUAACUGAAAUGUUUGACUUUAAAAGGCAGCGUUUUAUUGGAGAGCAGCAAAUGAUGAGGGCAAAUUUGAGUAUGCGUUUGAAAGUGAGGGGAAUAUAGCCUACCUGAUACCACAGGAGAGAAAAUUCCAGAUAGUGUGUUGAUUUUAGUAACAGAAUAGUCUAAUUCACAGAUUCAAACAUCUUCAUGAUCUCAGAGUAGGAUGAGUGCUUUACAUGACCACACACAGCCAUCGUCUACUGAGGACUGAGGACUGUGUAGAGGGCCUAGAGCACACUUGUCAUGUACUGUAUCUGCUGAGUGCAUCUCCAGCCCUAAAAUGUCUGUAAAGAGGCACAUAUUUAAAAAAAAAAAGAUGCAAGAUAUGUGUACUUAGAAUAAAUGACCCACCCCUAAAGGAAGUAUGACUUUGUGUAUGCGGAAAGUAAUUAAAGACUGAACUGCAAUGACACCAAAGUGAGAGUCCGUGAAUUCAGGAGAAAGCAGUGAGAGAAUGAGCAAAGCCACUCACCAGUCUUGUAAUUGCAAAGGCUCAUAUGCACACUAAAUCUGCUUCAGGAGCCACAAGGAGAGAUACCUAAACCCAGGUAUUACAUGCUUUCCCUUGUGUAUGAAGACUUGCAAAGAGAAAAGGAAAAGAAAAACAGUGGUGGAAAAUGGAGUGGAGAGGAUGGCAGUGAAGGUAGGAGGGAGUGUGGACUUGCUCAAAGCGCCACAUGAGCAUGCGUGGAAUCCCACUCAAUUCUACACUCCACAAGAUCAAUUUACAACUCAGAUACCAUCAAUGAUUAAAAGGUCAGACUUCACAGAAACAAAGACAGCACCUGCAGAGAUCCAGAGUUUGUCUCUCAGCACCAACAAUACCUUACCAGGUGGCCUAAGGUAACCUAGCAUUCCAACAGCUGUGGAUCCUCUGCCCUCUGCUGGUCAUUGCCAGGACUGCACGAGCACAAACAGGAUAGAAUGGGACCGUGAAAUAAAACAAUCUUUGAAUAUAGGCCGAACACUUGAAUGGGAACUUUAAAAGUCAUGAAACUCAGCUACACAGUGACUCUGUAGGAAUAAUUUUAGCAUGUUUUGUCAUGACAAAGAUGCUAGGCAAAACCAAAAUGAAGUAUGUUUUAAGUCUAUCAAAACUGGUUAAAAUUUAAAAAUUAUUCAUCCCAAAGGUGAGAAAAUCAAAGACUUCCAAAUGUUUUAAAGUGGUGAUGGGAAUGUUAAAUAAUAUAGCCCUGUCCGAAGCAUGUCAGGGAACUCGUGGUGUAACACAGUUGGUGGAAUGUUUGUUUGGCUUGCCUCAAACCCUGGAGUCAAUCUCAGUGAACUGUUUACUUCAGGCUGCAUGAUCUGCACCCACGCUCCCAGCGCUCAGGAAGUGGAGGUAAGAGAACCAAACGUGCAACAUCCUCCUUGGUGGUGUGUGACAAAACUUUUCCUGGGGCGGCACAACACACUCUCAUGGGUCUACUAACCCCAGACAGGUAACCCACAAAAACCAGAGUCCAUCUUCGUGAACCAAUGUGUUUUCUUGUCUUGCUUUCAGGAAUAUGGGUGAGGGGUUACUCACAGGAGCAGAAAUGACUCAAAGACAGCUGCAUCACCAAAGUCAAUCCCAGCAUGGGUGACAUACGACAAAGCUGGGAUUCUGGAGCACACUGCACAGCCUACAGGAGCUCAUCAGGUUGGAGGGUCCUUUCCAGAUAUCUGCAAAGCCAGAAAUGGGCUGAAGGGAAGACUGAUGCUGGGGUGAGGCUUUUGAGUUCCUGAGAACACAGAACAUACCCAGACUCUCACCAGCAGAAGGACCUUUGCGGUUUAAAGCAGGCUGUGUUGGGAAUAGGAUGCCACUGCAUCUGGGGUUCCUGAGGCACACCAGGCUGCUGUAUGAAUCCUGCUGCAAUUCCCAGAGGCUGGACAUACACCAGUAGAUUACAGGAUCCUCAGUGUUCCGGCAUGACUGACAGUUCCGGAGGCUGAACCAAUAACCACCCUGAGAAAGGUUCCAGGUGCCUUAAGCUUCCGUGGGAAAGGGAUCCUUUUGGCCACUGCAUGAAGGCUACAAAGACCCUUGACAGAAAUCAGAGGUGUCCUGGAAGGUUCUCUGACUCUGGAGGAGUAAGGUAGAAAGAGAAAAGCAGCAGCAGCGACCGCAAAGAUACAGCCAAGCUCUUCUCCUUGCCAACAGGCCCUAGUCCCUGGGUGAAUGGCAAGAGGAAGGUCAGCAUGUGGCCUGCUGCACACCAUGCAGGAAACCCAUGGCAAGACAAAACUGGACCUAGAGGGCUCUAGGGAAGCUACAAUGGCAUAGUGAUGUCCAGGAAAUUGCAACACUCCCUCGUGGAGAGAGAAGACUCACGUGUUGGAAACUUAGUACGCACAAGGUGACUGUACAAGGUUAUCCAGUGAACAGACCACUGAAAGGGGGCGGAGCUUCUCUGGCCACCUUGUUGAGUUACCUCCAAGCCAUGCAGGAGGAGGACACAGGGAUGCAACUCUCUGAACACUCACUCAUGCUGAGGGGGGUUUGGGGUCACAGAGCUGCCUUUGAGUCUUUCCUGCUCCGGUGAGUGACACUGUGCCUAUAGACCUGUAGACGACCCCAACACACUCACUGGUUAGCCCAACUGGACUUGUGCUGAAUAGGUUUUGGUUUGUGGCUCGUGUCGUAUUUGGAGUGUGUGGGCAUUUGUUCACAUAUCUCUAGGAAAAGCCAUACAGCAGCUGUUGAAGAGCAGGGGUCCACUGCGGGCAUCAGAGUGUCCCCAUGUUGCCAUAAAGUGCAGUACGGCUUUGAAGACAGAGUUGCAGGCUGUUCUGGAACCAAAGAAAUAUGGUUGGGGAGCCAAGCUUUGUGGAUCUGGCCAGUAAAUCCCUGCUGCCUUAGAGUCCAGGUCAGGGUGUAAGCGAGUUCAAGCAUGCCCUGGCAACUUAAUGAGAUUCUUCUGUAAAAAUGAAAUGAAAUAAGAAGUUAUUGGAUAGAUGCCUAUUGACAUACCAAAGCUGACUCUGGCUGCCAGGUUCUCCCAGCAUCUCUCAGUCCCUACCUCUUACAGAGUCCUCAGGGCUGGCAUAUCUCACCCCCUAUCCUAAAUGUCCCCAGACCAGGGAUUGGGCUGGGCUGCCCUUCUCCUUUCCCCAGCAGCUCUUCCCUAUAUAACGCAGCCAUUUGAGUAUGAUGACCUCUUUGCCCAUUAGACCUCUUGGUCUCCUGACUCUCCCCUCACCCCUCUCUCUCUCCUCUUCUCCUCAUCUGACUCUGAUGGUCAUGUCCAUGCAGGGAUCUCCCAGGGGCCUCUGCCACUGGCUGUGCUGUUCCUCGUAUUGGCAAUAAACCUCCCUUCCCCUCCACCACAGCUAGGAGCACUCAGGUCUCCCUUUUAUUUCUUUCUGUGAUUCACCUGGUGCCGAAGCCAUGGAACUGGCUAAAUAACACUCCCCAUACCCUCCCCAAAGAACUCAGGAUCUUUGAAUCAAGCUGGUGAUCUGAUUCUCUUAAGGUACAUAUGGACCAUUUGUUUCUGCUGGGUCCUGCCAUCCAUCUAAUUUGACCCCAAAUCCUUUCUGAAAAAUGAUUUACUUGUUUAUUUUUAAUGUGCUUUGGUGUUGUGUCUGACUGUCUGUGUCACAACCUGACCGUUGUGUGGGUGUCGGUUCCUCCUGGAACUUGAGUUCCAGACAGUUUUGAGCUGCCAUGUCGGUGCUGGGAUGUGAACCCGGCCACCUAUGAAAGAGCAGCCAGGGCUCUUAAGUGCUGAGCCAUCACUCCAGCCCAGAUUCUAGUUUGCCUCCUCAACUCCUCCUCCCCUCCACGUGCUCUAACCAUGCCUCUCAUCCUCACUUCUCUGUUUUUAAUCUAAUCUAUUCCUUUAUUUGCAUGUGGCUGUUUGCCUCUGCUUGCCUGGCUGUGCAUCUCACGCAUGCAGUGCAUUUGCAGGCCAGAAGAGGGUGGCAGAUACCCUGGGUGUGGAUUUCUGUGUCUUGUGUGGCUCUUGGUGUGUGAUGGCUUCUCACCCAGGUUUUCAGGAUCAGCUGUCAGUGCUCUUAGCUGCUGGGCCCUCUCUCCUUUACCCACAGUCCCUUCUCAAGGAGCACAACUUCUCUGUUUCAUGAUGAAGCUCACUCUCUGGAGCCCUUUCAUUUCUUAGGGGUGCCCCUGAGCCUCAAAGGAAGCCAGUAGCUACAGAGGGCAACAUCUGUUUACUAACAGGCGCUGGACUUAUUGGAACAGAGUCAGUGCCAGUCAGUCACAGGAGCAAAUGGCCUCAUUUGGAAACAAGGUCCUCGCACAUGUAAUAUUUUAAGUUAAAACGAGACCACAGUGGAUGAGAAAAUGUCUUAAAUCCCAUGACUUGAAUUUGUAGAAAACCGCCAAAAUCAGGGUCUGACGAUAUGUCUGAGCAAUUCAGAGCAACUUUGGCUCAGUUAGGGACCAGGUAUCUGGGUCCAGGUGCUCACAUCAGGUGGGCUGCACAUCCUGUGAC